AUUAAACGCUGGCGGCAUGCCUUACACAUGCAAGUCGAACGGCAGCACGGGGGCAACCCUGGUGGCGAGUGGCGAACGGGUGAGUAAAGCAUCGGAACGUGCCCUGGAGUGGGGGAUAACGUAGCGAAAGUUACGCUAAUACCGCAUAUUCUGUGAGCAGGAAAGCAGGGGAUCGCAAGACCUUGCGCUCUGGGAGCGGCCGAUGUCGGAUUAGCUAGUUGGUGGGGUAAAGGCCUACCAAGGCGACGAUCCGUAGCGGGUCUGAGAGGAUGAUCCGCCACACUGGGACUGAGACACGGCCCAGACUCCUACAGGAGGCAGCAGUGGGGAAUUUUGGACAAUGGGCGAAAGCCUGAUCCAGCCAUGCCGCGUGAGUGAAGAAGGCCU
rnacentral:rRNA from 1 species